rnacentral:rRNA from 1 species
UACGUAGGGUGCAAGCGUUGUCCGGAAUUAUUGGGCGUAAAGAGCUCGUAGGCGGUUUGUUGCGUCGGCUGUGAAAUCCCGAGGCUCAACCUCGGGCCUGCAGUCGAUACGAGCAAACUAGAGUGUUGCAGGGGAGACUGGAAUUCCUGGUGUAGCGGUGAAAUGCGCAGAUAUCAGGAGGAACACCGGUGGCGAAGGCGGGUCUCUGGGCAACAACUGACGCUGAGGAGCGAAAGCGUGGGGAGCAAACAGG